GAAAUGCGAUAAGUAAUGUGAAUUGCAGAAUUCAGUGAAUCAUCGAAUCUUUGAACGCACAUUGCGCUCGCCAGUAUUCUGGCGAGCAUGCCUGUUCGAGCGUCAUUUCAACCAUCAAGCCCUGCUUGCGUUGGGGAUCCGCGGCUGCCCGCGGUCCCUCAAAAACAGUGGCGGGCUCGCUGGUCACACCGAGCGUAGUAACUCUACAUCGCUAUGGUCGUGCGGCGGGUUCUUGCCGUAAAACCCCCAAUUUCUAAGGUUGACCUCGGAUCAGGUAGGAAUACCCGCUGAACUUAAGC
rnacentral:misc_RNA from 1 species